rnacentral:lncRNA from 1 species
GGAAAUGAGAAUUUAGGAGCUAAUGAAGAGAUUCAAAAAUUAAGACCGCAAAUAAUAGAAAUGCAUCGAGCUUGGGCUAAUGGGUUGCCGCCUCCUCCAGUUCCCACUGAUAAUCUGGAAUGUCUUUCUAGCUUGCUUCCUGUGUCACAUACACAAUUUCCUAUUUUUGUUGAUAUGCCAUAACAUGCAUCAGGAUCGACUCCAGGGAAACAAUAUCUAACCACUUUCGAUGUUCAUUUCCUCACUCCCCAAUCCAAGACUACCACAUACUCGGCUUCACCUAAUGUUCAUAAUUUUGCGGCGCCGCCACCACCUGAAGCUCCUACUUUUGAUGUUCCUCCACAAGUUGUGCCUUACUACUCCACAAGAGAGCCUGCAUUGAAUAUUACUGGUGAUCAGCGUUACACUCCUGAGUCUACAUUCAAGUUAACUGGUCUUUAUGGUGACACUCACCCACCUGAAUUCCCUUCUAACACUGAGAAGCCUUUUAUGAUAGAAGAACAAGAGGAAAUAAUCAGAAAAUUGAGAAGUUUGGAACUGGCUAUGAAGAAUUCGCAAGGACUUGGGGAUUACAAAAGUGUCUCAUAUAAGGACUUAUGCAUGUUUCCAGGUGUCAAGCUUCCUCCUGGCUUUAAAAUGCCAAAGUUAGAGAAAUAUGACGGACAUGGGGAUCCGGUGUCACAUUUAAGGCGCUAUUGUAACCAAUUAAGGGGCGUUGGAGGGAAGGAAAAACUACUCAUGGCUUAUUUUGGGGAGAGUCUUUCAGGCCUAGCUUCGGAAUGGUUUGUUGACCAAGACAUUAACAAGUGGAUUAGUUGGGAUGACCUAGCUAAUGAAUUUGUGCAACAAUUUCAAUACAAUGUGGAGUUGAUCCCUGACAAAAAAUCCCUAAUUAGUAUAAAAAAAAAGAAUACUGAGAGUUUCAGGGAGUAUGCGAUCAGAUGGCGUGAACAAGCUGCUAGGGUGAAACCGCCAAUGAAUGAAAGUAAGAUAGUGAAGGUAUUUAUUCAAGCGCAGGAUGAAACAUAUUAUCAACACUUGUUACCUGCAUUAGGCAAGUCGUUCAUUAAAGUCCUUAAAAUAGGGGAGAUGAUAGAAGAGGGAAUUAAGACUGGUCGCAUUAUGAGUUUUGCAAUAUUGAAAGCGACUACUCAAGCAAUUCAAAAGAGUUCAGGAAGUGUUGGGGAGAAAAAGAAUGAGGAAGAUUAAUCUGCUAUUGUAGUUGGAUAGCAGGAUAGGUCAAGAAGACCCCGUCGUCGUCACUCUCAGGAUCAAACCCAAGUUCAUGCCCAUGCUCCACAUAAUCACUCCCAAAAUUCAUUAUACUCUGCUCCUCCACCCCCGUAUCAAGUUUAUAACGCACAACCAUAUGUUCACCCCCCAUGUUACCCAUAAUGGAACACACCAACUCCUCAGAGUCGUCCUCUAACUCCAUAAAUAUACCAAAGCCCUUCUAAGACUAAUUUUCGAUCCAAGCCAAACGAUGAAAUGAGGCAGAAGUCAAGAAAUAGCUUCACACCAAUUGGAGUCGUAUGCCAGUUUAUUUUAGAGAUUGGUACAAUGGGGCAUGAUCACUCCUCUCCUUGGGUGCACUCUUAAUCGGAGUUCCAAAAAUUUUGAUCUGAAUGUACGAUGUGCGUAUCAUUCUGAUGCUCAGGGUCAUAGUAUUGAAGAUUGUCGACAUCUGAAAAGAGAUAUUAAAAAGAUGAUUCAAGAUGGAUUAAUUAUGGUGCAGAACAUUGACAGUGAGAGAAACUCUAGUCAUGCUGAUAUGCAAACUAGUGGCUAAGAUGUCAGGCUGAGCAAUUGAGAAGUCACCCUUCUCCUUACUAGGGAGAGGUUUGAUAGUUUGUUUUGUUUUAUUUUUUGUUAUCCGAAUUAUUUCAGGGUUGUAGUUCGGGAUCUAUCUUGUUUUGUCCUUUUGUCGUUUAUGUUGAAACCCUUCUAUCUUUUGUUUCAACUAAAUGAAGUGUCCUAUUUUCCUUUGUGUUUUAAAUAUGUUUUAUUUGUUUGUUUUCUUUACAUAGUACAUUUUAUGUUGACUUUAAUGAUAUGACAUGCUAGAAAAAUAUUUCAGUCAGAUCUUAAAAUCCGGUUUAAGCAUGAGUAUUGAAUCAAGGGGUUAAAGUUAGAAAAAAAAGAGUGUCUGAGAAAAUAGUAGAGUGCUGAAACAUUUGGUGACAAGUUCAAGACUUCUUUGAAAAUUAAGGCCAUUUAUUUUGAGAAUCAAAAGAAUAACUUGGUCAUCAAUUGAAAGACAUGUCUCAAUUAGGUCAAACAGUGUCUGGGUGAUCCUAUCAAGAAGAGCAGAAAGAAAAUCAACUCCACGAAAGCAUGAGUCAUUCAAAGUGAGGGAUGCACAACAAAUGUGGAGUUGUACGUUUGAAAAGUAUAGAAAAAGAGGUGACACACAUGCUCGGGGAAAAUUAGUGUUGUAAAACAUGUCAUAAGUGAUGUUGAUCGUGCACUUUCACAUUGCAUGCUAUGUACUAGUAUUUUCAAAGAUUGAUAUCACGAAAGCAUUUUAUUCUGCUAUCCAAACAUUGUGUCAUCCUUUGUUACCCUAUUUGAGCCUUAGUGUUAUUUUCUUUCAUACCCCUCUUUGGGUAUCAAGAUAAAGCUAGCAAAGCUUAAAAGAAAAGUAUCGAGCAAGAGAAUAGAGUCAGAAAGUUUCAAAAAAGAAGAAGAGAAAAAUGUGUCCACAAAGGAAGAAAAGAGUGUCAAGAAAUUGGAGUCAGAAAAAUCACAAAGAAAAAAGAGUACAAAAAAAAAGAACAAGUCAGAAUCAAGCAAAAAAGAAUAAGCUGUCAGAACUACGCAUGACCUGAUUCUCCUCUCUCGAGGGUGAGAUACAUAGGCUGCCUUACUCAGGGCUCGGUCCAACCAAAUAACAAUUUAGAAUUUCCAGUCAAAAGAAACUGGGGCAUGAGUUAAUCCUCAUUGUUUGAGUCGAUUUCAAAAGUUAUAAGUCCCACCUCACUACAAGUGUCGUUUUGGGCAUCAUGUCAUCCUUUCUUUCUAACCUUGUCCAAAAGUCAAGUUACAACCAAAGAAAGACCUUCAGAUCAAUCUUUGAGAAUGUUAAGGCUAAGCAUGCAAAGGAUAUGAUGAUGCAUUUGGGAAUUACUUGUCUUCCUCAGCAUAAGAAAUGAAGAGAGAAAUAAAAAGGAGAGAGUCUUAUUGGUGAAAAUCCUCACGGGCACCAUAAGGCGAUGCUAAGUUGAGAGAAAUAAAAAUGAGAGAGUCUUAUUGGUGAAAACCCUCAUGAACACCGUAAAAUGACUGUGAGUUAAUGGAAAUGAAGAUAAGAGAGUCUCAUUAGUGGAAAACCCUUACAGACACCAUAAGGUAAUGGUGAGCUGAGGAAAAGAAAAUGAGAGAAGCUUGUUGGCGAAAAUCCUUCAAGGCUCCACUAGCCGAAUGGGGUCUUAAAUGCAGUUGACCUAAGGAAGCAACUCAGUUUCAAGGCCAUUAACUCAACAACAAUAGGUAGAAAAUUUGGACGAAAAGAUCAAGCUGCUUAAUUCAAAAUGCAUGGUAUAAUCAUUAGUGUUGAGUGUCAUUUUUAGAUGAAUUUUUUGUUUCUUUGUUUCAAAAGGGAACAUUUAUUGUCUUUUCUUUCUUCUCUUUAUUUUUAUUUUAUCUUUCUUGAGUCAGUUAUCCAAACAAAAAUUUUAAUUCUUUUUUUCGUUUCUUGUCUUUGAGUCAAGUCCGUGUCAAAACAAGUGAGAAAAGAUUUAAAAAAUGGCUACCAGCUUUUUUAAUUGCACAAAGCAAGACAAAAGAUAGAACAUGAAAGAGACAUGAUUAUGAGCAAAAAAAUGGCAUGCAGAAAGUUUUGUCAAACAGAGAAGUCAGGAAACUCAUGGAAAUAUCAAGGUUCAAAGGAUCUAUUUGAGAAGCAUGGCAAAGUAGAGAUACUGUGUUUGUUUUAGUCACUCUUAAUAAUCUAAGCUCGGGUCAAUGAUUCAGCAAGUCAAUGAUAUAUGCUAAUGGUUAGAAGCAAGGUUAAAUGUGAGGAGGGCAAGAGUGAUCGUCGCGAAAGCUAAAACCACAAACCGGCUACCAUGUUUUAAACUCACAAGUUUUCUUUGAUGAAACAGGAAACAUAUUACCUUCAAAGCAGGGACUUCAGAGCAUAAACAUCAAUGGUUGCAAUGCUUCACUUUUACAAAUGCAAAAAACAAUAUUACUGCACAGGUUUGAUAUAAAAUCAUGGUAAAAAUUCAUCAUCCUAUAUCCCUCGAAGAAACACUUUCUUGUCUAGGAAUUUCAGUUUUCAUUUGCUAGGUGAUACACUUCUUAAAUUGAACCUUCACUCCUAGAAGACGUAUCUUUUAGUCGAGUCAUUCCCAUUGAUUCCUAUAAGACGUACCUUUUAGUCGAGUCAUAUCCCUUUGAUUCCUAUAAGAUGUACCUUUUAGUCGAGUUAUCCCAUUGAUUCCUAUAAGACGUACCUUUUAGUCGAAGUCAUUCCUAUUGAUUUCUAUAAGACGUACCUUUUAGUUGAGUCAUUCCCAUUGAUUCCUAUAAGACUUACCUUUUAGUCGAGUCAUCCCCUUUGAUUCCUAUAAGACGUACCUUUUAGUCGAGUCAUCCCCUUUGAUUCCUAUAAGAUGUACCUUUUAGUUGAGUCAUUCCCAUUGAUUCCUAUAAGACGUACCUUUUAGUCGAGUCAUCCCCUUUGAUUCCUAUAAGAUGUACCUUUUAGUUGAGUCAUUCCCAUUGAUUCCUAUAAGACGUACCUUUUAGUCGAAUCAUCUCUCUUUGAUUCCUAUAAGACGUACCUUUUAAUCGAGUUAUUCUCCUUAAUUCCUAUAAUAAUGUGACUUUCACAAAAGCCCUUUGAUGAUAAACUGGGGCAAAAUUUAAUUCUUAUGUUUGGAACUUCACUUUUCAAAAAAUGAAAUCCUUCUUUAUCAUAAUAUUUGUUCAGGACCCUUAUGAAAAAUGAAAUUUUACUUUAUGUUCAGGACCCUCCUGAAAAAUAGGAUUCCACUUUCUGUUUAGGACCUUCCUGAAAAAUGGGAAUUUACUUUCUGUUCAGGACCCUCAUGAAAAAUGGGAUUUUACUUUAUGUUCAGGACCCUCUUGAAAAAUGGGAUUUCACUUUAUGUUCAGGACCCUCCUGAAAAAUGAGAUUUCACUUUAUGUCCAGGACCUUCCUGAAAAAUGGGAUUUUACUUUCUGUUCAGGACCCUCCUGAAAAAUGGGAUUUUACUUUCAAUUCAGGACCCUCCUAAAAAAUGGGACUUUACUUUCUGUUCAGGACCCUCCUGAAAAAUGAUAUUUUACUUUCUGUUCUGGACCCUCUUGAAAAAUGGGAUUUUACUUUUUGGAAAAUGAAUUCUUUCUUUAUCAUAAAAUUUGUUUAGAUAUUUUCGUUCUAGUUUUGAUUUUGAUUUCAGAAGCCCGCCUGAAGAACCAGGGUGAUGAAAUUGCAAGUCAGGAGUCCGCCUGAAGAACAGGGUGAGGAAGAUGAAAGCCAAGCAACAAGGUAAAGAAAUUAAAAGUCGAAAAAUAGCAAGUCAGGAGCCCGCCCAAAGCAUAGGGUGAAUAAAUGAAAAGUCAAUCAACAAGGUGAAGAAGCUAAAAGUUAAACAACAAGGUGAAGAAAUUGAAAGUCAACAAAUGGAAAAAUAACAAGUCAGGAGCCCACCUGAAGAACAGGGUGAUGAAAUGGGAAAUUGAAGAAACUGCAAGUCAGGAACCCGCAUGAAGAAUAGGGUGAUGAAAUUGAAGUACAAAAAAUGGCAAGUCAGAAGCCCACCUGAAGAGCAAGGCGAAUAAAUGAAAGUCGAGCAAUGAAGUGAAGCAAUGGAAAACCAAGCAACAAGUUGAAGAAAUUGCAAGUCAGGGGCCCGCCUGAAAAAUAGUGUGAUGAAGUAGCGAGUCAAGCGUCAAGGAAAGCUGCAUAGAUAGGAAUUUUGUAAUUUCAUUUAUAUUUUAACUUGUAAUUUUCAUUUUAAGGUAAUGACAGAGCCGCGGACCGGAACCUCGAUGGAACCUCAUUCGACUCUCCAACUUGAUUUAGUCCAUCUCCGUCCAAUCCUUUGAGAUAUCGAUCACUUGAUUCCCUCAUAACUUGGGUGGGUAGAAUGUCCAUCAAGACUAGGUUGCCCUUCUUCCUUCUGUUUCCUUCCUCGAAUAAUGAUCAGGAAAAAAUUCUGUUUCGUUGUCUACUUAUUUGAAUGAAAACACUUGGUGUUUACAUUCAAAGGAGGCAUGAUGAAGACACGUAAUUUUAUCCCGUUAAUAAUAUUUCUUACUCCAAUAUCACAUAAUUUAACCCCUUUUUUAUAAUUUUUUCCCAAGAAAAUAAAUAACCACCUCAUCUUUUAAUUAUUUAUGUAUUUAUUUUUUUGUUUUGUUUUAUUCAAAUAACAAGUCAUAACAAACUUUGUCUCAUUCUAAUAUUCCAACAAUCCACCCAAUAAAAAAUGGACACCUAACCCCUAGUCCUCCCAUUAAAAAAAAAAUCAACACCACCACCCCUAACCUCACCUACCCUACCCUACCCAUCACGUGACCCCUCCCCCUACCUACUUUCUUUACACGUUUAUUCCAAUUCUAUAUAUACAAAGGAGCAAAGGAAAAGCAAAGAAUGGAAACGCGGAGCCCACAUAAUUAUUCCAUUAGUUUUCCUUCUUGGAUUGUCAAUACAUACACCUAUAUGCAUAUGAAAAAUGAACCUGGACAGAAGGACAAAAAACAAGGGGGGCCCAUUAGGAACUUUCCAGGAAAUACUCCAUUCACACAGUACACAGAUAUCAUAUGUAUACACCAUUGUUUCUUUUCCUUCGGGGGAGACCUGGAGACACCAUCCUCUUCACUCAAAAUAUCGGCACACACAUACGCCCAAUCGCACACACACACACGCAAUCCUCGCCCUUCACAGCUCACUCAAAAUCGCACACUAAUCCGCACAUACCCAAAAAAAUGAAGCCGAUUGAGAGAGAGGGUGACGAAUAGAGAGAAAUAUAGUUAUUUUGGUUUCGGGUUUGUUGCCGGAUUUCGACAUUUUCCGUUAGCUUAUUCCCUUCACAGCUCACCGGAGCUUAGAUUUGGACUGAUUUUGAGCUCUCAGUUAGACUUCGGAGAUGUUAGUUCUCGUUUGCUCGUCAUUCGUCUUCCGAUAUCGUGCAUUUGAAGGUUUUUCAUACCGGGCCGGUCUGUUUUUCUGUUGCUAUUUUGUUGUGGUUUCAUCGGUCUUCGCUACUGAUUUGAAGAUUAGAAUCUCGUUCAUCUCGAAUCGUUAAUCGCGAUCAGUUUUUUGGUCUUCAAUCUUCGAUACCGAAUCUGGGAUUAUCGCAUUUUGGAUUAUUUCUCGACUGAUUUGGAGAGUCGAGAUUUCGUUGGUAUUCUUCGAGGUUCUUGAAUGGGCUCUUAUUUCUCUUAUUAAAUCAAUCGAAAGCUCCCGAGGUCCAAUUCUAACUUUUCUCUUUUUGAUUUUCUCGUAAUUACGAAUGAUUUGUAUGCUUAAAUGUUUGAAUCCUUGUUUGGGUAUGUGUUCAAUAUUGAUUUCGGAUUUGAAGAAAUAACUUGAUUGUCAAAUUAGUUGUUUGGGGUCUAGAUUGAAAAUUAAUAAUCGAAUAAGUCGAAGGUUGUUUAUUUUGAUUCAUUAUUGAAUAUUGUUGAAUUGGAUAGCAUCAUGAUUAGGCCAUCUAAUGAAUAGGUUAAAGUAAGUUCGGGUAGGCAAAUAUUUAGGAAUAAGUGUUUGCUCGUUGAAUUAUUGAAUGCUUGAAAUGCGUGUUGAAUGGUUUGGUUUUAUUGCUUUUGGAUUGAAUGUAUCAUUUAGCCGGGGAAUGCCCCGAGACACAUUGUAUUUAUUCACCGGGGAAUGCCUCGACGUACUAUGUUGGCGGAAGACGUUCGUGAUGAAGGCCCGAGGCAUCGGGUAACUUGGGAGCGUAGUUAGGAUUAGUAUAGGUUAGAUAGGAUUUAUUUUUCGCAUUUUAUUUAUUUUGGGUAUGUAUAAUCGGACUGAACACUAUACUUUGAUUCAUUUUGUUUGUUUGCUUUACGUGCUUCCUUGUGAUUUGUACAUUCGUAGUGUCAAAAUUAGCCGAUACGCUCCACCAAGCGACCGUGGUCAAACCACGGGAUCGAGAGGUGUCUAACACCUUCCCCUCGGUCAACAAAAUUCCUUAGUCGGAAUCUCUGUUCGCGGAUCAGUUCUAUAGAGUCAAAAUCGUUUUGAAAAGGGAUAUCCAUGGGUGACUUGGCACACCCGAUUUAUGCCAAGUGACGACUUUGAGUUUAGAAUAUAAAAGGUCCUUUUCGAAAUAAAUUUUCAUCUUUUGUCACUUUGAUAAUAAAACUCUUUUGAACAUAAAAUGAAUCUUUUCCAGAGUUGAAAAAAAAAAGUGUGACAGACAUGUACAAGCAAGCUGCGGAUGAAUUAAUAUCAGGGGUAAACCCUAUCACACCCCUUUUUUCAACUCCCAAAAAAAAAUUCAUUUAAGGUUUGAAAGAGUUUUUAUUAUUAGGUGACAAAAGAUGAACAUUUGUUUCGAAAAUGGAUUAUUUACAUUUCUGUUCUGAGUCACCACUUGACAUAACCCGGUGUGCCAAGUCACCUUUGGAAAAUCUUUUUCAAAACGAUUUGACUCUUCAAACUGGUUUGCGAACAGAGAUUUCGGCUAAGAAAUUCUAUUGACCGAGGAAAAGGUGUUAGGCACCCCUCGAUCCCGUGGUUCGACCACGGUCGCUUGGUGGAGCAUAACGGCUAAUUUGACACUACAAAAUGUAUAAAACACACGAAAAAAGCAAAUAAACAAAUCAAACAAAAUUCAAAAUCAAAAUAAUAUCCAUUCCGAAUUAUACAAUCCCAAGGAUAGAAGAAUACAAAAAUAUAAAUCCUAUACUAGACUAAUCCUAAACUAUGCCUCGGGCCUUCAUCAAAACGUCUUCCGCCAACAUAAUACAUCGGGGCAUUCCCUGGUGAAUAAAUACAAUGUGUCUCGGGGCAUUUCCCGGCUCCAAAUGCGAGAAAGACAAACCAUUUCUCAAACAUUCAACGCAUUCAAUCAACACACCACUCCUAAAUUUUGCCUACCCGAACCUAAACAUUUUGCCUAUCCAAUGCGAACUAUCAUGAUACUAUAGAAUUCACAAACUUGAUUCCGAAUUAAGCAAAAUAACAACGAACCAACAUUAAACCAAAUUUACCCUUUUUAUCAAUCUCGCAAUUCCACCCUAAAUUCUCUUCUCAACACUAAAUUUCCACAAUUCACGAUUUCUAUUUCAACAAUCCACAAUCACUUUUCAAUGAAAAUUAAGCAACGAGUUAAUAUCAAAGUAGCAAUUCAUAACCAAUCAAGAUCAAACAACACACGAGAUUCCAUCCAAUGCACCAUAUUCCAUCAAUAAUGAAAUAAAAAGAGGAAAGGAGUAGAAAUGGACCUCAAUGAUGAUUUUAUUUCGAAUAUCAGUCAAUCGAGAAGACGACUCUGUGUGAUGAAGAACCUCGAGUCUGCCUCAAAAAAUACCACAACUCGACUACGAACCAACUCCAAUACGACAAUCUUCAAAACCCGAUCCCAAAACAAAACCCACGAAGGCCAGUGAGCCACUUAUCCACUGAGGUGACUUAGCCUAGUAGGGAGAGGGGUGACUUCUCAAUUACUCAGCCUGACAACUUAGCCACUGGUUUGUAUAUCAACAUGACUAGAGCUUCCCUCACUGUCAAUGUUCUGCACCAUAAUUGAUUCAUCUAGAAUCAUCUUUUCAAUUUCUCUUUUCAAAUCUCAACAAUCUUCAAUACUAUGACCCUGAGCAUCAUAAUGAUACGCACAUCGUACAUUAGGAUCAAAAUUUCUUGAACGCUAAUUAAGAGUGCACCCAAGGAGAGGAGUGAUCAUACCCUAUUGUACUAAUCUCUGAAAUAAACUUCCAUACGACUCUUCAAUUGGUAUGAAGCUAUCUCUCGACUUCUUCCUUAUUUCAUCAUUUGGCUUGGAUAAAUUAGGCUUAGGAGGGUUUUGGUAUGUUUACGGAGUUAGAGAAUGACUCUGAGGAGUUGGUGUGUUCCACUGUGGGUAAUAUGGGGGUUGAACAUGUGGUUAUGCGUUAUAUACUGGAUAUAGAGGUGGAGGAGUAGAGUAUAAUAGAUUUUGGGAAUGAUUAUGUGGAGUUUGGACAUGAACUUGGGUUUGAGCCUGAGAGUGACGACAAUGGGGUCUUCUUGACCGUGCCCGCUGUCCGACUACAAUAGAGGAUGGAACUUCCUUAUUCUUUGUCUCCCCAAUACUUCCUGAACCCUUUUGAAUUGCUUGAGUUGUCGCUUUCAAUGUUGCAAAACUCACAAUGCGACCCGUCUUAAUUCCCUCUUCUAUAAUCUCCCCCAUUUUAAGGACAUCAAUAAAUGACUUGCCCAAUGCAGGUAACAAGUGUUGAUAAUAUGUUCCAUUCUACGCUUGAAUAAACUCCUCUACUAUUUUUCUUUCUUUCAUUGGCGGUUUUACUCUAGCAGCUUGUUCACACCAUCUGAUCGCAUAUUUCCUGAAACUCUCAGUAUUCUUCUUUUUUAUACUAUUUAGGGAUUUUUCGUCAGGAAUCAACUCCACAUUGUAUUAAAAUUGUUGCACAAAUUCAUUAUCUAGGUCAUCCAAACUAAACCACUUGUCAAUGUCUUGGUCAACAAACCAUUCCAAAGCUAGUCCUGAAAGAUUCUCCCCGAAAUAAGCCAUGAGUAGUUCUUCCUUCCCCCAGCACCCCUUAGUUGGUAGCAAUAACGUAUCAAGUGUGCAAUAGGAUCACCAUGUCCAUCAUACUUCUCAAACUUCGGCAUGUUAAAGCCAAAAGGAAGAUGAACCCAAGAAAACAUGCACAGAUCAACAAACAUUCAACGCAUUUAAUCAACACACCACUCCUAAAUUUUGCCUACCCGAACCGAAACAUUUUGCCUAUCCAAUGCGACCUACCAUGAUACUAUAGAAUUCACAAACUUGAUUCCGAAUUAAGUAAAACAACAACAAACCAACAUUAAACCAUAUUUACCCUUUUUAUCAAUCUCGCAAUUCCACCCCAAAUUCUCUUCUCAACACUAAAUUUUCACAAUUCACAAUUUCUAUUUAAACAAUUCACAAUCACUUAUCAACGAAAAUUAAGAAACAAGUCAAUAUCAAAGUAGCAAUUCAUCACCAAUCAAGAUCAAACAACACACGAGAUUCCAUCCAAUGCACCAUAUUCCAUCAAUAAUGAAAUAAAAAGAGGAAAGAAGUAGAAAUGAACCUCAAUGAUGAUUUUAUUUCAAAUAUCAAUCAAUCGAGAAGACGACUCCGUGUGACGAAGAACCCCAAAUCAGCCUCGAAGAAUACCACAACUCGACUACGAACCAACUCCAACACGACAAUCUUCAAAACCCGAUCCCAAAAAAAAACCCACAAAGGCCAGUGAGCAAAUCUCAGCUUGGUAUCGAGAAAACUGUGACCUAAGACAGAGCACGAUGAACCCACCGAGAUAAACAAAACCCAAAUCCAAAUACAACACCAGCGUUAAAUUGUUUAGAAUCGAUUUAAAAAAGAAAUGUUGAUGGUGCUAUUACUGUUCACUUCUUUCCGAUGGUAUCGCCUGAAACAAAAAGAAACGACAAGGUAUGUUGGGUUUUCGGCACAGGGCAAGUUAACUCGAACGGGCCGGGAAAACUUGAGAAUCCCUUUCUCUCUGGUUUUCUCACUCUCUGACCAGUUCUCUCUGUCAAUCUCCUCGUUUUCUCAAUUUCUCUCUCAAUCGAUCUCUCCCACUCCUAUCUUUAUUCUCUCCGGUCACCUCACUCCUCGAUUUCCCUAUAUCAGUGUAUGUGUCCCCAGAUAUCGUGAGGUUGGUGAGUGUAUCCGUGAGCCAGAAGAAAUGAAAGAUAAUGUUGGUGUUUUCCUUUUUUCGUGAGUGGAAGAAUGAAGUGUCUUGUUGUGAUGGUAUAAGGUGGAGAAGAUGAUGUUUAUGGUGUCCCCUUAGUGGUGGGGCCCGUAUGUGUGUAUAUAUCCCUCAUGGUGUGAGAGAUUUUUCUUUUUCUCCAAGCUAACACCGUGUAAAAUAAUAUAAAAGGAGGAGGUAUGGUCACGUGGGAGAGGGUAGGGGUGGUGAUGAUAAGAUUUGUUAGGAUAAAGUUUUUUACGAUAAGGUUAGGGAUUUAAUUUGUUAGAGAUUUUGUUAAGGGUUGUUAUUUUUUGUAUUUUUGUGGGAUAUAAUCAUACGGAUGAG